rnacentral:rRNA from 2 species
CUUAACACAUGCAAGUCGAGCGCCCCGCAAGGGGAGCGGCAGACGGGUGAGUAACGCGUGGGAAUCUACCCAUCUCUACGGAAUAACGCAUGGAAACGUGUGCUAAUACCGUAUACGUCCUUCGGGAGAAAGAUUUAUCGGAGAUGGAUGAGCCCGCGUUGGAUUAGCUAGUUGGUGGGGUAAAGGCCUACCAAGGCGACGAUCCAUAGCUGGUCUGAGAGGAUGAUCAGCCACGCUGGGACUGAGACACGGCCCAGACUCCUACGGGAGGCAGCAGUGGGGAAUAUUGGACAAUGGGCGCAAGCCUGGUCCAGCCAUGCCGCGUGAGUGAUGAAGGCCCUAGGGUUGUAAAGCUCUUUCACCGGUGAAGAUAAUGACGGUAACCGGAGAAGAAGCCCCGGCUAACUUCGUGCCAGCAGCCGCGGUAA